GCAUUGUUGAAGAGUCUCAAAAUAGGAUGAAACGGCCGUCCAGUAC
rfam:Schistosoma curassoni strain Dakar, Senegal genome assembly, scaffold: SCTD_scaffold0011991